rnacentral:rRNA from 1 species
GACGAACGCUGGCGGCGUGCCUAAUACAUGCAAGUCGAGCGGACCUCUUCGGAGGUCAGCGGCGGACGGGUGAGUAACACGUGGGCAACCUGCCUGUAAGACUGGGAUAACACCGGGAAACCGGCGCUAAUACCGGAUAAUCCUUUUCCUCCCAUGAGGGGAAGCUGAAAGACGUUUUCGGCUGUCACUUACAGAUGGGCCCGCGGCGCAUUAGCUAGUUGGUGGGGUAACGGCCCACCAAGGCGACGAUGCGUAGCCGACCUGAGAGGGUGAUCGGCCACACUGGGACUGAGACACGGCCCAGACUCCUACGGGAGGCAGCAGUAGGGAAUCUUCCGCAAUGGACGAAAGUCUGACGGAGCAACGCCGCGUGAGCGAAGAAGGCCUUCGGGUCGUAAAGCUCUGUUGUCAGGGAAGAACACGUACCGGAGUAACUGCCGGUACCUUGACGGUACCUGACCAGAAAGCCACGGCUAACUACGUGCCAGCCGCCGCAGUAACAC